rnacentral:misc_RNA from 1 species
UUUCCGUAGGUGAACCUGCGGAAGGAUCAUUGCAUCGAUCGAACCACCUUUCCACGCGAACGCCCGUCUCCCCGCGCCUCGGUCGCGUGGCCCGCUCAUGACGUCUUCGGCCGCUGUCGGCCGAACGAAAGAGGCGGCCGCCGCUCGAGCGUGCGCCUGCUCCCCGGUCGGCUCUGCCGGUCGGGGCACGGGCGGAGCCGGUCCGUGGGAUGAGGCCGCCGUCGAGGCGGCCGACGACUCCCGCGGGUCGCCGGCUGGGACAGCCCCAACCGAUCCGUGACACUCGAAAUCUGGAGCCAUAGCGCGCGCUGGGUCACGCAUCCAACGUCGCCGCCGAAACCAAAGACAACUCUCAACAACGGAUAUCUUGGCUCCC